AUGAAGCUGACGGACAACGUGCUGCGGAGCUUCCGCGUGGCCAAGGUCUUCCGAGAGAACUCGGACAAGAUCAACUGUUUCGACUUCAGCCCCAAUGGCGAGACCGUCAUCUCCAGCAGCGACGACGACUCCAUCGUUCUUUAUGACUGCCAGGAGGGCAAGCCAAAGAGAACAUUGUACAGUAAGAAGUAUGGAGUGGACCUCAUCAGGUACACACAUGCUGCCAACACUGUUGUGUACAGCUCCAACAAAAUAGAUGACACAAUCCGAUACCUCUCCUUGCACGACAACAAAUACAUUCGGUAUUUCCCAGGGCAUACAAAAAGAGUGGUUGCUCUUUCGAUGUCUCCAGUGGAUGAUACUUUUAUUUCUGGGUCCCUCGAUAAAACUAUUCGACUUUGGGAUCUCCGCUCUCCAAAUUGCCAGGGUUUAAUGCAUCUGCAGGGGAAGCCUGUGUGUUCUUUUGACCCAGAAGGGUUGAUUUUUGCUGCAGGAGUCAAUUCUGAAAUGGUGAAGCUUUAUGAUCUCCGUUCUUUUGACAAGGGGCCAUUUGCUACCUUUAAGAUGCAAUAUGAUCGAACGUGUGAGUGGACAGGCCUGAAAUUCAGUAAUGAUGGCAAACUCAUCCUCAUAUCAACUAAUGGAGGGUUCAUUCGACUGAUUGAUGCCUUUAAAGGAGCCAUCCUGCAUACAUUUGGGGGUUAUAACAAUAGUAAGGCUGUCACGCUGGAGGCAUCAUUCACACCAGACUCUCAGUUCAUCAUGAUAGGUUCAGAGGAUGGGAAGAUUCAUGUUUGGAAUGGGGAAAGUGGGAUGAAGGUGGCUGUGCUGGAUGGGAAACACACAGGUCCUAUAACCUGUCUGCAGUUCAAUCCAAAAUUCAUGACUUUUGCUAGCGCAUGUUCCAAUAUGGCCUUUUGGUUGCCAACUAUCGAUGACUAAUUCCUACGUUGCAGCUGCUGCUGGAGGAUCUCCAUACUGCUAAUAGCAGCACAUCACUGCAAGCAUAGUACUGGAAUUGCCUAGGUCUCCUGGACUGUGUUCCUGUUCCUGCACACGCCUCCAUGUCUUACCUUUAUUUGGUGCAUUCCUUUGCAAGGACUUCUCGGCUCAGCCUCCUGGCAUGUUCCAAAGUGGCAUGCUACCUUACAGUCUGUGCCCAGCAGGCUUCAUCUGAAGUUGGAACUGACUGACACAGUAUUAUUUCUAAGAGCAGUGAAGUCUGUUUUAAUUACAAAAUGUUUGUGGCAUUUUUUUAAGCUGUAACUGCGUUUUCCUUCUGUAAGUGCACAAGGCUAUCGAUGCUCCAAGGUGGAAUGUGCAGUUCCUUCCCAUCGUGUCUACAGAACUGAAGUUACAAUCUUCCAUGGGACUGUGGUGACUUCCACUUUCUGUGGCCCUGUUCCAAGGGACGGGAGGGAUGUGCUCUCUUGCUCCAGAGAGGCUUGUGGGUGAGUGGCACAGAAAAGCUGGCAAGCUGGUCUUCAAGCCUGGUUCUGCUUUCUUGUUCCUGAAACACUGCAUUGAUCAAAUGCAUCCACCAGCAGGCUGGGACAGGCUCAGUGUAACUGAGGUGUCCAUUGUAUUCUUGCCUUUCCGAACACAGCUGGCUUUAUGUGCAGGGCUACAGCUUGGAAAGAUGAUUCUUUCUGUUGCCCAGUCGUGUGCUUCUGAAAUGCUGGUGAGGUGGCAGGCAUGGGCAUGUUCUCUAGCCUUAGGUCAAUUGUCUAGGUGUAGCUCUGCUGCAGCAAAGUUCAUCUCAGCUGUGGAGGCCUGUCUCAUUUGGAACAUCUCUCCCUGGCUGGAGGAGGGAACAGAACACUGGACAGAUGCUUUUGAUCCUGUCCACCAGGCCUGCCCUUGGAGAUGCAGGUGAGGGAUCCAUGCUAUUACACCAGCAUCCCUCUUGCCAUACUGUCCUGCUGUCACCUUGGAUGGCCAGCACAAAGGGAGAUCCAAGUCAUCCCAGUCCUCAACAGCUGACUAGCUCUCCACAGCCGCUUCUUCAACUCAGUGUUGUUGCAUUUCAGGCUGCUUGGUGCUAUUUUACCAUUGUUGGUGUUUCUGUAAGCAGCUGUAUUUUGCAGUGGUUUGUAACAUACGGGUGUUUGGGGGGCGUUGUAGUGCACUUAACAGGUAAACUGUAACGUUCAGUAGUAAAAUCAUCUUUCAGGGGUUUACCAAGUCUGUUGCCUGAGGAGGUGAAGAGCCUCCAGCAGCUUUACUUGUCCUUUUCAUAGGGAAGCACUUGGAAGUCUUUUCUUCUAAAAGUGCUCUUUGCAGAUGUGGUUUGAGCACUUGUCUGAAGAGCAUUGUUCAGCUCUCUUCCCCUUGUGGUGGUGUAAAACAUUGUGUGUUGCAGUGUGAAAUGUUUAAGGGAAAGAAGACCGAAGGGCUGGUCCAGAAGGACACACUGGAGUGAAAAUAAAUGUACAGGUUUGUGCACAACAUAGCAGUAAUGCUCAGUUCGAAAUUAAAGCCAGAUGCCUUCCCAGGGCUGAUUGACACCCACACAGAGGCAAAUAAAUCUUUCUUGGUUGUAGCACUCUUUUCCAUCUGCCUUUAGAAGAAAGAAAUGUGCCAAGUGUUGUCAAGGAACUUGAGUAUCACAUAUCUUUAGAAGGUUAGACAGGAAAGGUGACUAAAGCUUUUAGCAUUCAGCUUGUGAACCUUUUUAAAAAGCAUCAGGACUGCAAUUCCUGUCCUCUCCAUGGCAGCCAGCUAAUGAGAAAUGGACCUCAUUAGAAACAGUGCUUGCAGGUUUAGCAGAAUGUCUAGCCUUGUGUAAAGCCAAGCAGGAAAGCAGAAAGCAGCAUUCCCCCUCCAGAUUUGACACUUAAAAGAUCAAUGUUCCCCAUGCUCUUUAGGAUAAGAUAAAAAGACCUUCAAAACAAACAGGAAAUGAGACUCAAAGCCCACCUCUAAAUAGGCAGUGAUGGUGGCUGAGCACAUCUGCUUGGGCUGGAGAUUUUUGGGUAUAAUUCUGGGUUAGUAUUUUGAGAGUGGUUUGGGGUUUUGGUUUGGUUUUGGUGGGUGUUGUGAGGUUUUUUUUGUUUGGGUUUUUUUUUGUUUGUUUGUUUGUUUGUUUUUGUUUUUGUUUUUUUUUGGCUUGCAGGUCCUUGGUUAAUGUCCCAGCCCCUGCUCUAAGGGACACAGGAGCAAUUGAGUGAACAAAUUUGGAAGCAGCAGUGUCUCUUUUCCCAUGCCUCUGGACUAUAUUUGCACUUUAAGAGACUCAAUGGGAUUUCGGGUUGAGCAAGGAUCCUAGUGAGCUUCUUGGAAAAUGGUCUCCUUGCUCGUGAACUGCUAAUGAGGAGUUUACCUCCUAGGUGGGAUCUCCUGGAUGGGUGUAAAUGCAUGGAGUCAACUUUGUUGCAAAAUACUACACAUGUGGAGAAUUCAAUGUUGUGGCUGCUACCAAUAAACAUUUUGU